GAUGAACGCUGGCGGCGUGCUUAACACAUGCCAGUCGAACGGAAAGGCCCAAGCUUGCUUGGGUACUCGAGUGGCGAACGGGUGGGUAACACGUGGGUGAUCUGCCCUGCACUUCGGGAUAAGCCUGGGAAACUGGGUCUAAUACCGGAUAGGACGAUGGUUUGGAUGCCAUUGUGGAAAGUUUUUUCGGUGUGGGAUGAGCUCGCGGCCUAUCAGCUUGUUGGUGGGGUAAUGGCCUACCAAGGCGUCGACGGGUAGCCGGCCUGAGAGGGUGUACGGCCACAUUGGGACUGAGAUACGGCCCAGACUCCUACGGGAGGCAGCAGUGGGGAAUAUUGCACAAUGGGCGCAAGCCUGAUGCAGCGACGCCGCGUGGGGGAUGACGGCCUUCGGGUUGUAAACUCCUUUCGCUAGGGACGAAGCGUUUUUGUGACGGUACCUGGAGAAGAAGCACCGGCUAACUACGUG
rnacentral:rRNA from 1 species